rnacentral:tRNA from 1 species
GCGGGCGUAGCCAAGUGGUAAGGCAAUGGAUUGUGACUCCAUCACUCGCGGGUUCAAACCCCGUCGUUCGCC